rnacentral:lncRNA from 1 species
UCCAGCCAUCUUCCACACCCCAGGAGCAAGAAACCCUAGGGUUUCUUGCCGCCAGUCCAUAAAAGGAAAGAAAGGAAGGGAGGCGCUAUCCCCUUCCCCCCUUGGCAGCCGCCAACCAUUUCUUCUCUCUCCUCUCUUGCAGGUAUCCAAACACUAAGUCUAGGACCUGGAAUCUCUUUAGAAGAGGUUGGUACAAGUCCCUCUCAGAUCUAGAGUUGAUCUGAGGUCAUUUGAGAUGCGGGUGAGAUCUCCAUCAACAAAUCUACAAGAAAGGCUGCAG